AGUGUGUCCUUGAGCUGUGCAGUGAGAGGAGUCUCUAGGUGUUUGGAGCUGGCAAGAGACCUAUAUUGGUGGAGGUAAAAGCCUCAGCCAGAGGCAAAUCCCAGCUGUCAAAAGUGUCUUCUGGCUCCUUGUGAUCACCCACCCCGGUGCCCUCUCAUGCCAUGUGGCCCCCUCCCUGGCAUCUCUUGUCACAGGAACAGCCUCCAAGGACCUCUUCACUGCAUUGACUCCCCAGGUCACACCGUGUCUGACAAGAGGGAGCAGACCCCAGUGCCUUUCCGCGCUGUACGGCAUGAUGGAGAUGCAGACAGCAGGGGACUUAUUUUUGCUGGCCAUUUGCUCUGCCUUCCAACUUGGUCUCCGUCUCCCAAUGCAGCAGCUCGCUAUAGCGGCAGGAUGAGUCGGAGAGAUGUCUAGGCAUAAGCAAGAGUACAUCUUUGAAAGCUGCCUAACCAAAUAGGCAUCCUGCCUUUCAGCUCUGUGGAUUGGGGGCCAAAUCCAGCGCUGGCAGAAGUGGGCAGAGCUCUAUUGAUGUCAGUGGUGUUGUCUGCUGAUGCAAGCUGGAUGCUUGGCUCCUGAUCUGUCUCUGUGAGCCUUAUUCAGGCAAGAGGCUUAUAAAAAUGGCGUAAAAGGAGCAUUGACUGGUUUUAACAUAAAAGGCAGAAUCAAGCCUCUAAAGCUGACCAUUUAAAUCCAGCAGGUCACUGAUUCCUUUGUGCUGCUCUGAACUGGCACAAUCAAAACCUGGCUGGGGUCCAUUCACACUCUUUUCAUCACGCGCUACUUAUUGGCUGAAAUUCCCUGCAUUCAGGAAACCUUCCCACCCACCCCUUCUCCUGCCUAGCUUAUUUAGGGAACAGUUAUUUUGAAUAAUAAAGUCCUUUUUAACAAUGUUCUUGCUGAAAUCCCAAAUGUCAGGGAUCACGCAUGAACGUACACAAUCUCAGGCGUACACUCCAGUGACUUAUUUUUUUUUUUUUUGUCUCUGAAAUGUCAGUAAUUUCCACAAACUAUUGUUUGCAUGUUUUUCUGCCCUUAGGAGGGGGAAAAAAAUUGCAGCGUUGCAAUGGCCCAAGCCACUGCAGAGCUAACGAUCCACAGCCAUUGCUGUGGAAAUGUGGGCACUUGGAGGUGUGUAGAGGUUUGCUCACAUGGGCAGUCCCAUAGAUUGUGCCCGGGUAAGCAGCACUUGGGGCUUGUGCAACGCGGCUUGAGAUUGGUGUGGUUCUGCCAGGGUUUGUGUGCGAUGCACUUACAAACACAACUCGCGCUUGGGGCUUGGCAGUGCAGCCUCUUGCAAUAGCCCCAAAGCUCCCCUCCUUUACAGCAUGCUUCAAGUCUUGGGCCAAGCAGCUCUGCAGAUGUUCCCCGCGCAGAGCCCACCACUUCAUUUAUUACUGGCGUCUCUUAAGACAUCUGCUGUCCGCUGACAACUUUAUUGCUGUGUAUAUGUCUGCCCAGACUCCCAGUUGGGUCGCAUUGUUAUAGAAACACGGGGCUGGAAGGGGACUCCUGGGCCGUUGAGCCCAGUCACGUGCAUUUGCAGGCAAUUGUAUUCCCA